rnacentral:rRNA from 1 species
GACGAGCGCUGGCGGCGUGCUUAACACAUGCAAGUCGAACGGAAAGGCCCUGCUUUUGUGGGGUGCUCGAGUGGGGAACGGGUGAGUAACACGUGAGUAACCUGCCCUUGACUUUGGGAUAACUUCAGGAAACUGGGGCUAAUACCGGAUAGAAUCUCCUGCUGCAUGGUGGGGGUUGGAAAGAUACGGCGGUUGUGGCUGGACUGGCGGCUUAUCAGCUGGUUGGUGGGGUAGUGGCUUACCAAGGUUUUGACGGGUAGCCGGCCUGAGAGGGUGGCCGGCCACAUUGGGACUGAGGUACGGACCAGACUCCAACGGGAGGCAGUAGUGGGGAAUAUUGCAGAAUGGGCGGAAGCCUGAUGCAGCAACGCCGCGUGCGGGAUGACGGGCUUCGGGUUGUAAACCGCUUUCGCCGGUGACGAAGCGAGAGUGACGGUAAUGGGUAAAGAAGCACCGGCUAACUACGUG